AUACGGAGGGGGCUAGCGUUGUUCGGAAUUACUGGGCGUAAAGGGCGCGUAGGCGGACCAUCAAGUCAGAGGUGAAAGCCCUGGGCUCAACCCGGGAACUGCCUUUGAAACUAAAGGUCUAGAGACCGUGAGAGGAUAGCGGAAUUCCCAGUGUAGAGGUGAAAUUCGUAGAUAUUGGGAAGAACACCAGUGGCGAAGGCGGCUAUCUGGCUCGGUACUGACGCUGAGGCGCGAAAGCGUGGGGAGCAAACAGGAUUAGAUACCCCAGUAGUCC
rnacentral:rRNA from 1 species